rnacentral:rRNA from 1 species
UGCGUAGGUGGUGAUGCAAGUCUGGUGUGAAAUCUCGGAGCUUAACCCCGAAAUUGCACCGGAUACUGCGUUGCUCGAGGACUGUAGAGGAGAUCGGAAUUCACGGUGUAGCAGUGAAAUGCGUAGAUAUCGUGAGGAAGACCAGUUGCGAAGGCGGAUCUCUGGGCAGUUCCUGACACUGAGGCACGAAGGCCAGGGGAGCAAACG